rnacentral:rRNA from 1 species
AUACGGAGGGCGCGAGCGUUAAUCGGAAUUACUGGGCGUAAAGCGUGCGUAGGCGGUUUGCUAAGUCAGAUGUGAAAGCCCCGGGCUUAACCUGGGAACUGCAUUUGAUACUGGCAGACUAGAGUAUGAUAGAGGGGGGUAGAAUUCCUGGUGUAGCGGUGAAAUGCGUAGAUAUCAGGAGGAAUACCAGUGGCGAAGGCGGCCCCCUGGAUCAAUACUGACGCUGAGGUACGAAAGCGUGGGGAGCGAACAGGAUUAGAUACCCCAGUAGUCC